UCCUCAAGCAGGUGGAUUAAGCAAACCUUGAGUUAUUUCACAGAGGCAGCACUGCGCAUGUGCCAGACGGGACCGUGGGGCCCGAGAACCCUGGGUCAGGGAAACGCGAAAUGUUGCCCCCGGGGUCCUUUGCGAAGCAAGAAAUCCUGCAAUAAGUAAAACCUGGCGUCCAGCAGCGUGAGUAGUUCAUGUGGCCUGACUGAGGAUUGGCCAAUCAGCUUCCAAGUUUGAAAUUCCCCUAACUCCUUCAAUUUCGUCGGGGGCGCUGGAUCAGGGGGUAGACCUGAGAGCCUGGGCUCCUGCGUUCUUGCCGGCCAACCCCGCGAUAAGCCUCUUUCUCAUCUCAAAAGCCUGUGCUCUCUCUGGUCCUGGCUUUCAGGCAAGGCAGGCUGGGAGCCUUUGCUCCAUCACGGAAGGCGGUAAAUGCUCGGAUUCCAUCCUGGGUAUGUUAAAAACAAAAACAAAACAGACUUCCGGAUGAACAAAGACGAUGCUAUUGAUUCCGGUCUAAAGACACAGGUUGUACGCCUGUCGUUUCUUUGGUGCGUCUCAAAAAGACCGAGUGACCCAGAAGCACAUUUUCCUUGUAUCUCAUGGGCGCCGAAAGCUGAAAGGAGCUGAAGGAGAAUGUCACCAUUGUGUCGCGCUACAGAACGAGACGGAUGCGGCGGGCUCUGAUGGUUUUGGGCUCUUGGGAGAACCAGCCCAGGAGGCCGUGCCCGUGCUGCUGGCUCACACCCGUGGGGGAGCCCCUCUAUCCCGGCCACUCCGACUCCCGCGGCUGCAGAAACUCAUGGCUUGCUUGGUGGGAAUAACCGAUACCCCUGUGGGGCUGGAAGCGUGGAAGAGAAAGAGGAGGCCAAAGGAGACGACAGAGCACUCCUGGUACUGGGGUACAGUCGAUGGGGAAAUGCCCCCUACGAGGGAGACAUCUGCCAGUCCGCUCCCCAGAAUCUCAGGACUAGAGGAAGAGAUGAUGCGAGAGGAAGAAGCAGAUGGCACAGGUGAGAAAGGAAAAUCUUCUUUUUCUGAAAAAUGCCAGGAGUUCCCUGGUAGCGCAGUGGGUUAAGGAUCUGGCGUUGUCACUGGAUCUGGCUCAGGUUGAUGCUGUGGCGUGGUUGGAUCUCUGGCCUGGCAACUGACACAUGCCCUGGGCAUGGCCACAAUAACUUCGAAAAAAAAUUUUUUUAAUGAAAAACUUCAGAAAUUUGAGCAACUUCUACUUUUCAGCCAUAAAACUGGAAGGAGGUAUUUGCUGACUCCCAGGCAAAUUCUUCCAGCAUUUGAAGCUAAAAAUUGGCACUAUCAGCAGGAGCUGGUCCUCGGGGAUCUCCAUCCGUCCACAUCUGCACCCUGAGGCUCCCUGUUGAGACUGGACAACUUCCCCCCGAGCUGGUCCCAUC
rnacentral:lncRNA from 9 species